rnacentral:sRNA from 1 species
AUGGCGGUCAUGGCGCCCCGAACCCUCCUCCUGCUACUCUCGGGUGCCCCGGCCCUGACCCAGACCUGGGCGGGCUCCCACUCCAUGAGGUAUUUCAGCACCUCCGUGUCCCGGCCGGGCCGCGGGGAGCCCCGGUACCUCGAAGUCGGCUACGUGGACGACACGCAGUUCGUGCGGUUCGACAGCGACGCCGCGAGCCCGAGGAUGGAGCUGCGGGCGUCGUGGGUGCAGCAGGAGGGGCCAGAGUAUUGGGACCGGAACACACGGAGAGCCAAGGCCAACGCACAGACUGACCGAGUGGACCUAGGGACCCUGCGCGGCUACUACAACCAGAGCGAGGCCGGUGAGUGACCCCGGCCCGGAGCGCAGGUCACGACUCCUCCCCAUUCCCCACGGACGGGCCGGGUCGCCCACAGUCUCUGCGUCCGAGAUCCACCCCGAAGCCGCGGGACCCCGAGACCCUUGACCCGGGAGAGGCCCAGGCGCCUUUACCCAGUUUCAUUUUCAGUUUAGACCAAAAAUUCCCGCGGGUUGGUCGGGGCGGGGCGGGGCGGGGCUCGGGGGAAGGGGCUGACCGCGGGGGCGGGGCCAGGUUCUCACACCAUCCAGAGGAUGUAUGGCUGCGAAGUGGGGUCCCACGGGCGCUUCCUCCGCGGGUACCGGCAGGACGCCUACGACGGCAAGGAUUACAUCGCCCUAAACGAGGACCUGCGCUCUUGGACCGCGGCGGACAUUGCAGCUCAGAUCAUCAAGCGCAAGUGGGAGGCGGCCGGUGUGGGGGAGCAGGAGAGAGCCUACCUGGAGGGCACGUGCGUGGAGUGGCUCCGCAGACACCUGAAGAACGGGAAGGAGACGCUGCAGCGCACGGACCCCCCCAAGACACAUAUGACCCACCACCCCAUCUCUGACCAUGAGGCCACCCUGAGGUGCUGGGCCCUGGGCUUCUACCCUGCGGAGAUCACACUGACCUGGCAGCGGGAUGGGGAGGACCAGACCCAGGACACGGAGCUCGUGGAGACCAGGCCUGCAGGGGAUGGAACCUUCCAGAAGUGGGUGGCUGUGGUGGUGCCUUCUGGAAAGGAGCAGAGAUACACCUGCCAUGUGCAGCAUGAGGGUCUGCCUGAGCCCCUCACCCUGAGAUGGGAGCCGUCUUCCCAGCCCACCAUCCCCAUCGUGGUCAUCAUUGCUGGCCUGGUUCUCCUUGGAGCUGUGAUCACUGGAGCUGUGGUCGCUGCUGUGAUGUGGAGGAGGAAGAGCUCAGAUAGAAAAGGAGGGAGAUACUCUCAGGCUGCAAGCAGUGACAGUGCCCAGGGCUCUGAUGUGUCUCUCACAGCUUGUAAAG